GUAACACGUGGAUAACCUACCUAUAAGACUGGGAUAACUUCGGGAAACCGGAGCUAAUACCGGAUAAUAUUUUGAACCGCAUGGUUCAAAAGUGAAAGACGGUCUUGCUGUCACUUAUAGAUGGAUCCGCGCUGCAUUAGCUAGUUGGUAAGGUAACGGCUUACCAAGGCAACGAUGCAUAGCCGACCUGAGAGGGUGAUCGGCCACACUGGAACUGAGACACGGUCCAGACUCCUACGGGAGGCAGCAGUAGGGAAUCUUCCGCAAUGGGCGAAAGCCUGACGGAGCAACGCCGCGUGAGUGAUGAAGGUCUUCGGAUCGUAAAACUCUGUUAUUAGGGAAGAACAUAUGUGUAAGUAACUGUGCACAUCUUGACGGUACCUAAUCAGAAAGCCACGGCUAACUACGUGCCAGCAGCCGCGGUAAUACGUAGGUGGCAAGCGUUAUCCGGAAUUAUUGGGCGUAAAGCGCGCGUAGGCGGUUUUUUAAGUCUGAUGUGAAAGCCCACGGCUCAACCGUGGAGGGUCAUUGGAAACUGGAAAACUUGAGUGCAGAAGAGGAAAGUGGAAUUCCAUGUGUAGCGGUGAAAUGCGCAGAGAUAUGGAGGAACACCAGUGGCGAAGGCGACUUUCUGGUCUGUAACUGACGCUGAUGUGCGAAAGCGUGGGGAUCAAACAGGAUUAGAUACCCUGGUAGUCCACGCCGUAAACGAUGAGUGCUAAGUGUUAGGGGGUUUCCGCCCCUUAGUGCUGCAGCUAACGCAUUAAGCACUCCGCCUGGGGAGUACGACCGCAAGGUUGAAACUCAAAGGAAUUGACGGGGACCCGCACAAGCGGUGGAGCAUGUGGUUUAAUUCGAAGCAACGCGAAGAACCUUACCAAAUCUUGACAUCCUUUGACAACUCUAGAGAUAGAGCCUUCCCCUUCGGGGGACAAAGUGACAGGUGGUGCAUGGUUGUCGUCAGCUCGUGUCGUGAGAUGUUGGGUUAAGUCCCGCAACGAGCGCAACCCUUAAGCUUAGUUGCCAUCAUUAAGUUGGGCACUCUAAGUUGACUGCCGGUGACAAACCGGAGGAAGGUGGGGAUGACGUCAAAUCAUCAUGCCCCUUAUGAUUUGGGCUACACACGUGCUACAAUGGACAAUACAAAGGGCAGCGAAACCGCGAGGUCAAGCAAAUCCCAUAAAGUUGUUCUCAGUUCGGAUUGUAGUCUGCAACUCGACUACAUGAAGCUGGAAUCGCUAGUAAUCGUAGAUCAGCAUGCUACGGUGAAUACGUUCCCGGGUCUUGUACACACCGCCCGUCACACCACGAGAGUUUGUAACACCCGAAGCCGGUGGAGUAACCUUUUAGGAGCUAGCCGUCGAAGGUGGGACAAAUGAUUGGGGUGAAGUCGUAACAAGGUAGCCGUAUCGGAAGGUGCGGCUGGAUCACCU
rnacentral:rRNA from 1 species